AGGGAUGGAAAGGCGAUCCCGGGACCACCGGUGACGCCGGGCAGAAAGGGGCAAAGGGAUUCCCAGGACUUCCAGGCCUCGCCGGCGCUCCCGGAGCCAAAGGGACCAAGGGAGAAAGGGGAAGUCCUGGAAAACCGGGAAUGCCGGGAUCGGACGGACGGCACGGAGCAAAGGCGAGUGUCUGGAAUUAUGGGAUCAAAGGGUGGAUUUGGGUGGGAAG